ensembl:lncRNA
GGACUAUGCUAACCACUAGGCUACCCUACCGCCCCUAUGAUGGGACUAUGCUAACCACUAGGCUACCCUGCCGGCCCCUAUGAUGGGACAAUGCUAACCACUAGGCUACCCUGCCGCCCCCCUAUGAUGGGACUAUGCUAACCACUAGGCUACCCUGCCGCCCCCUAUGAUGGGACUAUGAUGGGACUAUGCUAACCACUAGGCUCCCCUACCGCCCCUAUGAUGGGACUAUGCUAACCACUAGGCUACCCUGCCGCCCCCUAUGAUGGGACUAUGCUAACCACUAGGCUACCCUACCGCCCCUAUGAUGGGACUAUGCUAACCACUAGGCUACCCUGCCGGCCCCUAUGAUGGGACAAUGCUAACCACUAGGCUACCCUGCCGCCCCCUAUGAUGGGACUAUGCUAACCACUAGGCUACCCUGCCGCCCCCUAUGAUGGGACUAUGCUAACCACUAGGCUACCCUGCCGCCCCUAUGAUGGGACUAUGCUAACAACUAGGCUACCCUGCCG